rnacentral:rRNA from 1 species
UCAGUUUUCACUGUUCGUUACACGAUUGAGANUGGGGGNNUUNAGAUUUUCNUCGCCCAUAUUCCUACGGGAAGCAGCAGUGAUGAAUUUUUCACAAUGGACGAAAGUCUGAUGGAGCAAUACCAUGUGAACGAUGAAGGUCUUCUGAUUGUAAAGUUCUUUUAUUUAGGAAAAAAAGCUUGAUAGGAAAUGAUUAAGCCUUGAUUGUACUAAAUGAAUAAGUGACAGCUAACUAUGUGCCAGCAGCUGCGGUAAAACAUAGGUCACGAGCAUUAUCCGGAUUUAUUGGGCGUAAAGGAAGCGUAGGCGGACAAAUUGAUCUAUUGUUAAAGGCACUUGCUCAACGAGUUGUUUGUGAUAGAUAUCGUUUGUCUAGAAUUAGUUAGGAGAUACUGGAAUUCAAUGUGUAGCGGUGGAAUGCGUAGAUAUAUUGAGGAACACCAGAGGCUAAGGCGAGUAUCUAGGACAUAAUUGACGCUGAGGCUUGAAAGCGUGGGGAGCAAAUGGGAUUAGAUACCCCAGUAGUCCACGCCGUAAACGAUGGGUAUUAGGUAUUUGGUCUAGGACUGAGUGCUGUAGCUAACGCGUUAAAUACCCCGCCUGGGUAGUAUAUAUGCAAAUAGA